UUGAUUAAUUUGUUUUCUAUUGUUAUUAAUUUAAUUGAUUUCUUUUUAUUUUUGUUGAUUAUUAGUUCUUUUUGUUCAUUGUUAAUCCCUGUAUUCUUUUUAUCCAGCUCCCUAUCUUUUCUCUCUCACCCACUUUUUCUUUGAGAAUAGAAUUAACAAGGAUAAUAUUAAUUCAAUUGUUAUUCUUUUAUGAUGAAAAUUGUCUAUUUCUCUCUCUCUUUUUGUUGAUUUGUUAUGACCUAUGUUGAUGAUGAUUAUGGGUGAUUUGGCUUAGUAAAAAUGACUAACCAUUGGUUACCGGAUGAUAGAGAGAAAGUAAUAAUUUACCUUCAUUUUCAUUUUGUUAUUACCUGAUGGAUUAUCUGCUUCACCGUGAGUAUAAUUGGGUUUGUAUGGUUGUAAAUAUUAUCUCAUAAAAAAAGCUUUGACCAUUUUUAUUGUGUGGUGUUGCUUUUUUUAAGAGCUUUUGACUUUUCUAUAUUCAUAUGUAAAAAAGGGUGUAUGGUUGAUUGAAUAAUAUCUAUGUGAGGUGACUGUAAGAUGAGAAGAAGAGAAGACUCUAAUUGAGUGAGUGAGAGAGAGAGAGAGAAGAUAUAAAAAUGAAGAUUAUGUUUGGAUGGAAGAGAGAGAGAGAGAGAGAAACUUAGUGAGAAAGCGAGUGGAAAAAUAAUAUAUCUUUUUUGAUGAUGAUGAAAAACAACAACAGCAAUUGCCAAAUUGCUAUUAAUACGCUAGUCUAAUUUAUAUGUUGAUCGUAUUAACUAUUUAAUGAUAACAAUGAAUGUUGACCGCGUGUGUUUAAUUCUGUAUUUAGUUAACAACAAUGAGAGAAAAUAUGUUUUUUCUCCCAAACUUGAAACCUCCAUUUAUGAAUUACCAUUAUUCCAAUUUACCUAUUUCCGUAUUUCUCUCUCUUCUAAAUACAUUUAUUGAUCCGUUUUCUCUCAUUAUGUUUGCCGGACAGUUAAUACUCGAGCUAUUAUGUUUCCUAUGUAGUAUUGACCUUUUUGUCUUUGACUGAGGUCAAAACCGGAAGGGUAAUACUAGUACAAUUAACUGUAUAAUAGGAAAUCAUGAAGCAGAAAAAAAUUGAAAGAAGAGUAAAUUGUUUACUAUAUUGUACUAAUAUUAUUUUUAUUGCAUCUUUCAGAGAAUGAGAAACAAUUGGAAGAUCAAAUAACGGUCAACAUUUUGGUACCAAUAUAAUAUCCCAAAGGAGGAGGAGGAGGAGGAGGAGGAGGAGGAAGAUGAUGAGGCCGAUGUGAUGAUAAUAGAGGAGCAAUGAGUGAUUGUCGCCAACAACAAGUUUCUCCGUCAUCAUUUUUACAUGAAAAAGUCGACCUUUAUAAUGUCCUCAGGUCAAACAUCGAGGCCAAUUAGAGGUUAAAAUUUGAUUGACAAGUAACACCAAACAUUGGAAAGAUGUUAAUUUCAUUUUCAUCCUCAUCCUCAUCUUCAUCUUGAUCUGUUUACUUGGAUCAGCAGAAAAGUGAAAAUAAAAACACUGAACUAAGGUAAAGUAUCUGAAGAAGCCUAAAGCCUGAAGAUGAUGAGAAAGAUGAUGAACACAACGACAUACCAAUGAUCAGGAUGGGAAAAUGAUGAUUGGAUAUAAACAUAAUCUCAAGUCUACAAUUAGUAUCUCAAGAAACCGAGAAAAAGGAGAUAAUAACUCCCUUUGGAGAAUCUCUCCCUCCAUCAACAGAGUGAGAGAGAGAGAGAGCUAAUCAUCUCCACUCUAAUCAUCUUUAACAAUCAACAUAAACUAAAUUAACUACGAUCAAUGGAUCAAUCAACAGAAAAUAAGGAGAAAAACUAACUAACGAUUCGUAAUCAAACUUGUUUCCAUCGCAAUUAACUAAUAAUUUACUCGAUUCAAGUCACGUAAUUAUCAAGGUAAUCAAGGUAAAGUGAUCUUGAUGAUUAACCAAAUACCAACAAUUUAAUAAUAAUCAAUAAAUUGUUUUAAAAAAAGUGCGAGUGUUGAUAAGUAUAAUUUGAGUACUAAUCAAUUUUAACUUGGCCACCAAUUAGCUUUUAAUCAUAACCAUAGCAAUUAAGUUAACUGUUAAAUAAUAAUAGAUUUCUGGUAAAUUGUUUCAACCCUCCGGGUGAAUCAACAAUUAGAUAACAAUUACCUUAGAAAAUUAGUAAAUUAAAAGUGAUCAAAGAUUAUUGGAAAAUUAAAUGAGUGUCAAUUAACUUUAAUUCAUCAUAUUGUUGAUUAUGAUUAAUUUUACAUCUUGAUUGUAAUUCAAAUGAUUACAAACCAUUAAUUUAAUUCAAUCAAUUAGAAAACAAAAAUGUUUCUAAUUUAGUUAAUCAUUUGAUUUCCUUGAACCAGGAAGCUCAUUGUUAAUCAAGGUAACUUUCAACUUCCUUUUACCCUGGAGCUUAAUUUUGUUUUUAUAUUAAUUUAAUUUAUUAUUAUUCUGAUUAUAACAAUUUAACCUUAAACGAUUUACAUUAACUGAAGGUUAACAAUUAAAUUAGGGUUAUUGUGGUUCCAAUUUCCAAUUAACAAAUUGUCAUCACAUCAUAAACUGUAUUAUAAGUUUUUACCUUUGAUUUGAUUUUUGUUUUUCUUUCAUAAUUGAAAGUUAAUUGUCUUUAGUUAAUCAAGUUAAUUGUUUACUAUUAGUAUCAUGAGUAAUAAAACUCACAAUUACAAGUACCUUUCUUUAAUUGUAAUGAUUAUCGGUAAGAUAUUGGUAAUAAUUAAGAAAUAAUUAUUCUGUAUGAGAAUCUUUUUUUUUGAUUUGUCUGAUUACAAUUAAAGGUAAAUUGUGCCAAUCUAUUUACAUAGUCAGUUAAUCAGUUGAUUGCUUAUAAUUGAAUAAUUCAAGUGUUGAUUGUUGAUCAAAGGGCCUUCAAGGACAAUUGAUUAAAUUUAAUCAUCAUCAGCUUAUUUACUUAUAAAUCCUAAUACUUAUAUAAGAUGAGUACUUGAUUACAAUUAAUUUUUGAUUACUUUUAAUUGUUGUAAACAAUUAAUGACACACUUUGUUUGUUAAAAUUGAUCAAUUGAUUGUGAUGAUGUAUCAUGAUAAUGGUAAUAAUUGAUUUAUUGUUGGAACCAUUGGUUGGAUAACAAUUUAAUUGAUUAAUUGUAAUUAAAAUAAGCAACUGAAGCCGAAACAAAAUGAAAAGACAAAGAUGAUAAAAGAUGAUAACAAAGAGGAAAACAAAUGAUGUUGACAUAAGAUGAAUGGAUAAUUGAUUUAAUUAUGUCAAUUGCAAUUAAAGAGUCGAAAGUUAAUCUGGAACAGUAAUUAAGGUUUACCGUAAGAUUGAGUUUGAAAUGAUAAAAUUUAAGAGAAGGAGAAAAAUAUAACAAAUUUACUGAGAAAAAGAGGUGAAAAGGGAAACGGAAAUGAUGGAGAUAAAGAUGAAGAUGAAGAAAGAUUUAGAUGAGGGAAGAUGUUAAAUCGAUAUCGAUCUGAAUUCUCACUGUGAAAAGGAAGAUGGAAAAAUGAGAUGAAAAGUAACUAGAGGAUUUUGGUAAGAAGAAGAAGAUGAAGAUAAGGAAGAUCGAUGGAUUAGACUCACUUCAUCCUCAUCUUCUUACAUAAAGAAGAUGAAUGUUACUCUUCCAUAGGAGAAGAUGAAGAGGUUCAUCUAGUUACAUUCCGUUUUCUUUUCUUCCAUUUUUAUUCUGCGAAGUUUUCGUUUUCUCUUCGCCAUCUUCAUCGUAUCUUCUUAUUUAUCAUCUUCUUCCAUUUAAAUUCCAUUGACCCAUUUUUCUUUCGUUCUUCUCUAUCAAUCUUGUCCAUCUCUCUCUCUCU